rnacentral:rRNA from 1 species
UACGUAGGGUGCAGGCGUUUAAUCGGAAUUACUGGGCGUAAAGCGUGCGCAGGCGGUUCUGCUAAGAGAGAUGUGAAAUCCCCGGGCUUAACCUGGGAACUGCGUUUCUAACUGGCAGGCUUGAGUGUGGCAGAGGGGGGUGGAAUUCCACGUGUAGCAGUGAAAUGCGUAGAGAUGUGGAGGAACACCGAUGGCGAAGGCAGCCCCCUGGGCUAACACUGACGCCUCAUGCACGAAAGCGUGGGGAGCAACAGG